GAAAAUGACUUAGUUUCAUGAUAUCCAUUUGUUGAACGAGUCGAUUUCGAAUGAGUUGUAUAACAAGAUUCUAAUAAAAUCGAAACUCUUCAUCUUCCCAUCCUUUAAAUGAUGGUUCUCACAUGAAUCAAAACGGAUGUCAGCUGCAUCUGGAGCGGGUGUAAUAGUGCUUGUAAACCAUCCACUCUAAAACCGACCCAUUUAGAACAAAACUAACCCAUUUAGAUAUGCAAACAAGUUUUCUAACAAUCUUAAAAAAUGAGUUAUCAAGGGUUUAGCUGAGAUAUUACACUAAAACCACCUGAUUUUUUUCUCCCUCCCUGUUUGGUUUUCGAGAAAACAAUAAACAAAAUUCUGGAAAACCAAAAACAAAAGAGAAAAUUUCACAAAUCUGUAGAUCCAGGAAAAGAAUCACUUCUCUUCUUCUCUGAUGACGGAGGUGAGGGUGGCGUGCAACAACAGCAGCGGCGGUGCACAGCUGACACCAGAAGAAGAGAGGGUUUUGAUUAGAGACAUUGCGAUUGCUUCAGAAACUAAGAGUAAAGAAGGCGAUAGCUUUUAUUUAAUCACUCAACGAUGGUGGCAACAUUGGAUUGAUUAUGUGAACCAAGACCAGACAAAUGUUACUAAUGAUGGGUCAUCCAUGUUAGAGAAUUGUGAUACAGUUAGUUCUUCAAAAAGGCCUGCCAGUAUUGAUAAUUCUGAUUUGAUAUAUGAUGUGAAUUCGGAGGAGUCUAAUGUUGGCAUUGAGAUUCAUGACACUUUAUUAGAAGGCCGUGAUUAUGUAUUGCUUCCGCAAGAAGUUUGGAACCAGUUGUAUUCCUGGUAUGGAGGUGGUCCAGCGUUGGCACGGAAAGUAAUCAGUUCAGGUCUUUCUCAGACAGAGUUUGCUGUAGAGGUAUAUCCUCUCCGUCUUCAGCUACUGGUUAUGCCGAAGGGUGAUCGUUGUGCAGUAAGAAUUAGCAAGAAGGAGACAAUUGGAGAGCUUCACAAAAGAGCUUGUGAGAUUUUUUAUCUGAACUUAGAGCAGGUAUGCAUUUGGGAUUACUAUGGCCACCAUAAACAUGCUCUGAUGAAUGACAUGGAUAAAACACUUGAUGAUGCCAACUUACAGAUGGAUCAGGAUAUUCUGGUGGAGGUUCAUGAGAUUGCAAAUGGUACUGCAUUGAGUCGUUUUAUAAGAUCUGCUCAGGACAAUGGACCAACUGUGAAGGAUGCUAGUUCUUUUCAUUUAGAGCCUUCUAAGUCAAGCUUAUCAAUUGCAGGAGGUUUACCUGCAAGCAAGGGUGCUUCUAGAGGCUACAGUGCAGAGCUAUCUCAAAGUCCAAAUCUGAUAUCCCAGGGUCCAAAUCUGACAUAUCAGGGCAGGGAGCUGGAUAAUGCAUGUGGGACCAGUACUGUUACUACAAGGGGGUCUUCUGGUGGCUUGAUUGGGUUGCAGAACCUAGGGAACACAUGCUUUAUGAAUAGUGCAAUACAAUGUCUUGUUCACACAUCAGAGUUUGCCGAAUAUUUUCGAGAGGAUUAUCAUCAAGAAAUAAAUUGGAAAAACCCACUGGGUAUAAAACUGAUAAAACCUUUCAUUUGUUACCGUUCACAAGUAGAGCUUGUAAUUGAUGCUGAUGAUCAGGGUGAGCUUGCUCUUGCAUUUGGUGAGUUACUUCGAAGGCUAUGGGCACCUGGGCGAACAGCAAUUGCUCCUCGACAAUUUAAAAUGAAGCUGGCUCGAUUUGCACCUCAAUUUAGUGGGUAUAAUCAGCACGAUUCUCAGGAGCUUUUAGCAUUUCUUUUAGAUGGUCUGCAUGAAGAUCUGAAUCGUGUUAAACAUAAGCCAUAUAAAAAGUCAAAAGAUGCUGAUGGUCGCCCAGAUGAAGAAGUUGCUGAUGAAUAUUGGGCAAGUCAUAUUGCUCGUAAUGAUUCUAUAAUCGUUGAUGUGUGCCAGGGCCAAUACAAGUCAACUUUGGUUUGCCCAGAGUGCAAUAAAAUCUCUGUUACAUUUGAUCCUUUCAUGUACCUCUCUUUGCCACUUCAAUCCACCACCACACGUUCUAUGACAGUUACGGUUUUUACAUGUGAUGGAAGUGCCUUGCCAUUUGCUUGCACAGUGACUGUUCCGAAACAGGGACGAUGCAGGGACUUGAUCAAUGCACUUGGCUGUGCUUGUUCCUUGAAGAAUAGCGAAGAGCUUAAACUUGCUGAGGUACGGAACCAUUUAUUUCAAAGGUUUCUAGAAGACCCCUUAAUAUCCCUCUCCACGAUUAAAGAUGAUGACCACCUAGCUGCCUACAAGAUAGCAAAGUCGCUAAAGAAAACACUUCUGCUUAGGUUGAUUCAUCGCUGUCAGGAACAGGAAACAGGUGAUACAAAGGCUGCACAGAAGUUGAAACCCUUUGGAAUGCCUCUUGUCUCUUUGAUCUCACAUGAUGAUAUAAUUACAAGAGGUGAUAUACAGCAAGUAGUUCACACAAUGCUCUCACCUUUGUUGAGAUCUGAAAGUUUGAGACAAGCUGACAUUCCUGAGCCUUCCUCGUCAUUGGCGGCAUCAGAUAUGUGCCACAACGGCAGUUCUGAUGAAGCAUGUACUAACCCUGUAUCAGAUUCAAUGAACAAGGAUAGUAGUGGUUCCAGGGCAGUAACAUUAUUCAAACUACCGCUUCAGUUGGUUGAGGAAAGUAAUGCAUGCAUUGAUCUGUCCGUGGGAGAAGACAAAACAAUUAAAUUAUCCUCAACAUCAACAUCAAUGUUGGUAUAUGUUGAUUGGUCACAGGAGCUCUUAGAAAAGUAUGACAUUCAUUAUUUGGAAAACUUGCCCGAAGUGUUCAAGUAUGGAGCUGUGAAUAAGAAAGCUCGAGCUGAACCUCUCUCCUUGUACACCUGUCUAGAAGGUUUUCUGCGUGAAGAGCCUUUGGUGCCUGAAGAUAUGUGGUACUGCCCAAAAUGUAAGGAGCGGAGGCAAGCAAGUAAAAAGCUUGACUUAUGGAGGCUUCCAGAAGUGUUAGUCAUCCAUUUGAAGAGGUUUUCCUUUAGCAGAUCAAUGAAGCAUAAACUAGAAACUUUUGUCAAUUUUCCUAUCCGUGAUUUUGAUCUGACAAAUUACAUAGCCAACAAGAACAACACUCAACGUCAACUCUAUGAGCUAUAUGCAUUGACCAACCAUUAUGGUGGCAUGGGAAGUGGGCACUACACUGCACAUAUCAAGCUUCUGGAUGAGAACAGGUGGUACAACUUUGAUGACGCUCACAUAUCACCCAUAAAUGAAGAAGAUGUGAAGUCACCUGCUGCGUAUGUUCUCUUUUAUCGAAGGGCGAAGACAGGUGAUGCCAUUAGCAAUGGAGAAAAUUCUGGUACUGGUCAUAACAAUGGUUCAUCCCUGAAGUGAACUUCUAUGGCCAUUUCUUCUUGCCAAAUAAGCAUGGUAAGCAAUAGUACCUAAUAUUUGGGUGAAGUUGAUUAAGGACGAUCCUGAUACUGAGAGAGUGCUUUGCUUGCUAGAAAAGGGGCUGAAGUGGGCAACUAAAUUCAUUUAAAUGGCUUAUUACCCCCACCCGUACCCCACUGAAUCCACCUGCACUCAGAUGUUUGUUUGAGAUUCCUAGGCUUUAUCCUGUGUUUAACACAAAUACUGGUCAUGGAGGCAUUGAAGUGCACCAAGUGGCAAAGCUAACUCUAGACGGGAGAUGUCCUUGCUGGUUCUGAAGGUAGGGGCACCCAACAAUUGAUAGUUAUGUAUAUCACCAAGCUUUCUGGACUUCAAUUUUGUAGACUAAUUAAAAGGUCGCAAAAAUAGGUCUAGGACAACUUGAUUUUUCUGUAGAAAACAGUUAGCAUACACCCUCUGUCAUUGUGGGGGGGAAAGUACCCGGACGUUCUCUUCCGAGGAUGUCUGAUUUAGCUGCUAUAAUUUCUGCUAUUCUAGCCAAACCUGUCUUGUUUCUUUAAGUGUUUAUCAAGGUAGGUUUGUGUAAAAAGUUAGGGCUGCAAUAUUAUCAUGCAUUGUCUGCUUGUUUUUUUCGAUGGCUAUCCUUUAUAUCUACCGAAUCCUAUUCACUUACAAUU